ACGAUCACACCGUGCUCUCUCAUGGAGACUUUACUUUUGUGGUUUGUUAUUCUAAAAGACAACCUGAUUCUGCAUGAAAGGUGCUGUUUGGUCUUUGUUUAAGAGAAAACUUACAAGAGGUGAAGAUUUCUGCUGUGCUACAUGUGGCCAGAGGGGUUGUUGUCUCACAACCCCAUGGCUCUCUGGGAGGAGAGACAAGGUCCAUCAUUGGGCUAGGUUUGUGUCACAGGCCCUGGUGCCGACAAGGAGAAGGUGGAGGAGGAGGAGGAUGGGGGACAUGCAACAGGAGGGUCAAGCUAUGCUGUGAGCCAGAAGCUGUUUGAGACUCCACCGCAGUCAGUCCUGGCAGUCGAACAUGGGCGAGCCCAACGCAGGGGAAGUAACCUGGGCUGCUGCUGUUGUGGCCUUGAGGUUCCUCCUCUAGAUCCAUGGAAAUCUUGAGCCAGAUAAGGAGGAGAAAGAAGAGGACUCAGACUGACAUGUUCAGUAAAUUCCUUCAAGCCAGUGCUGCAUCAGACUGAACAGAGGGCCUGAGGGGUGAACAUUGCUGACUGUGUGGAGAAUGAAAGAGUGGACAGGAGAAAAGCCCAGAAGUCAGACUGGGAGAUGGGUCUUCUCUGGUAGCAAGCACAGAUGCUGCAGACUCAUGGAAAACUCCACUGCAGCACCUCCCUACAUCCCUCUCAACAUUCCACAUGGCAUUGGAGAACACAUCCAUACCCCACCACUUCACUUCGGGGGACACUGACAACCACAACUUCUCAUACAUUGGCCAGUAAGAGCCACGGUUGAUGUAUAUGUAGCUAAAAUGGACAUGAAUGUUCCU